ACAGCAGUAGCCACGGUAAUACGAAGGGGGCUAGCGUUGUUCGGAUUUACUGGGCGUAAAGGGCGCGUAGGCGGACUGAUAAGUCAGGGGUGAAAUCCCAAGGCUCAACCUUGGAACUGCCUUUGAUACUGUUUGUCUUGAGUUCGAGAGAGGUAAGUGGAACUGCGAGUGUAGAGGUGAAAUUCGUAGAUAUUCGCAAGAACACCCGUGGCGAAGGCGGCUUACUGGCUCGAAACUGACGCUGAGGCGCGAAAGCGUGGGAAGCAAACAGGAUUAGAUACCCCAGUAGUCCCUGUCUCUUAUAC
rnacentral:rRNA from 1 species